rnacentral:rRNA from 1 species
AGAGAUGCACUGGGUUUAAAGAGUGCGCAGGCGGUUUUGUAAGACAGAGGUGAAAUCCCCGGGCUCAACCUGGGAACUGCCUUUGUGACUGCAAGGCUGGAGUGCGGCAGAGGGGGAUGGAAUUCCGCGUGUAGCAGUGAAAUGCGUAGAUAUGCGGAGGAACACCGAUGGCGAAGGCAAUCCCCUGGGCCUGCACUGACGCUCAUGCACGAAAGCGUGGGGAGCAAACA